AUUCGUUAUAGUAGUUAAUUUGCUAGUCCACGGGAUGUUCCCGCCGAAAUUGGACUUCGUUAUUAUGAAUAUUAAUAAAUUAAUAUGAGGUGUGUUUUUAUCAACUUAACCACUUGGUUGUUUUUGCUUCAGAAAAGCAACUAGUUAUAAAUGUAAGGGCUUUUUUGGACAACUUCGGUGAAAAAGUGUUGAUUUCGUAGUUCAGUCAGCGUAACUUAUAUCCGAGAGGUCUUACAGGCGCCACAGACACCUAUCAGCCUUUUGUAAGGAGGAGCAGCUCGAGUGCGGUGCGGUCAGUAGCCCUUCAAAUUAGAAAAGUGAGGAUGAUCUUGUCAAUGCUGAGAUUUUCAUGCAUUAGCAGCCACUACAUCUGGAUCAGAUUGAACAAGAAACGGACAGCAAGGGUUGUCAGAUCAGAAACAGAAUGACACACAAACAAGAAACUUCACAGGCAGAUCAACAUGCAAUUUGAAGACGUGUGAUAAAAUACAGAGAGGUGAAGUAGUGUGUCUUUCCAGAUCCCCAAAUCAUUCCCCCUUAAAAGAUGAGCCUGAAGAGGAGAUUUGGGAAGAUGUUGUUUCAUAAGUCGCUUUGCCAGAUCACAUGUGGUAAGUCGGGAUGUCUGCUAACAAGAUGCCUUGCUGGUCUGAGCGAGUUUAAAGUCUUACACAGACAGUCCAGAAGUUCUGAAGUCCAUCUUCGAUUUCAUUGGACGCUUUAAGGUGUAGAAACAUCUCAGCAACCUCAAGAGAAAUUGGAGGCAACUGAGCUAAAUUGCAGAUGUUGUUGCAAAGGGUCUGAAUAUGUAUAAUAUGCUGUCAUCGUAUUAAGUACAGCAUGAGCCAGAAUAGAUGGGUGGUGAUGGCCAUAAGAAGACUGUCAACUAAACCAACAACAAAAUUCAUAUUUGCAGUUUUUCUUGAAUAAAGUUUUUCUAUUCAGAUUAAUAAAAUGACUUUUAAACAUGA